AUUGAACGCUGGCGGCAUGCCUUACACAUGCAAGUCGAACGGUAACGGGCCUUCGGGUGCCGACGAGUGGCGAACGGGUGAGUAAUGCAUCGGAACGUACCUUUCAGUGGGGGAUAACGUAGCGAAAGUUACGCUAAUACCGCAUACUCUGUGCGCAGGAAAGCAGGGGAUCGCAAGACCUUGCGCUGAUUGAGCGGCCGAUGUCAGAUUAGCUAGUUGGUGAGGUAAAGGCUAACCAAGGCGACGAUCUGUAGCGGGUCUGAGAGGAUGAUCCGCCACACUGGAACUGAGACACGGUCCAGACUCCUACGGGAGGCAGCAGUGGGGAAUUUUGGACAAUGGGGGCAACCCUGAUUCAGCCAUGCCGCGUGAGUGAAGAAGGCCUUCGGGUUGUAAAGCUCUUUCGGCCGGGAAGAAAUCGCAUGGGUUAAUACCCUGUGCGGAUGACGGUACCGGCAUAAGAAGCACCGGCUAACUACGUGCCAGCAGCCGCGGUAAGAC
rnacentral:rRNA from 1 species